CAGUGACAUAGCCAGGACCAUGGAGAGAGACCAUUGCUGAGGAGGUGGGAAUGGCAAGUUCCUGGCCAAUCAGAUGAUCCUACAUGACGAAGCUGCUCGUAAAGAUGCAAGUCUGAUGACAAACUCAGGAUGAGGCCGUGCUCAAGCUGAACCCCAAUGCAGAGACGUCAAGUUCAAUCUGAAUGCCCAAGAGUUCAAACUUCCGAGAGCAAGCUUCUCUCCAGUGGUCACUGCCUCCUCCACACCUCUCCGAGACAAGGCGACUAUAGAGUCCUCAGCCUCUGCCCUACAAGAGCAAAAUAAUUCCGUUUCUGCGUGUGUCACCAAACUGGAGGUAAAAGUUUACGUAAGGACUUUGAGAAGGAGCGGGAAAAUGAGUACAAAGAGAAGUACCUCUCGCUAUUAGAGCAUAGUAGGUAAAGGUCAUGUAAUUUACUUACUGUUAUUAUAACGUGUUAUGUUAGGUAAGAUCUUAGUAUUAUAUUGGAGCAUACUAGGUAAAGGGUCAUCGUGUAGUGUUUUGUAAAAUAGUCAU